GACGAACGCUGGCGGCGUGCUUAACACAUGCAAGUCGAACGAUGAACCCGGAGCUUGCUCCGGUGGAUUAGUGGCGAACGGGUGAGUAACACGUGAGUAACCUGCCCUUGACUCUGGGAUAACUGCGGGAAACUGUAGCUAAUACCGGAUACGACCCUCGGCGGCAUCGCCAGGGGGUGGAAAGAAUUUCGGUAAAGGAUGGACUCGCGGCCUAUCAGCUAGUUGGUGAGGUAACGGCUCACCAAGGCGACGACGGGUAGCCGGCCUGAGGGGGUGACCGGCCACAGUGGGACUGAGACACGGCCCAGACUCCUACGGGAGGCAGCAGUGGGGAAUAUUGCACAAUGGGCGAAAGCCUGAUGCAGCAACGCCGCGUGAGGGAUGACGGCCUUCGGGUUGUAAACCUCUUUUAGUAGGGAAGAAGCGAAAGUGACGGUACCUGCAGAAAAAGCACCGGCUAACUACGUGCCAGCCGCCGCCGUAA
rnacentral:rRNA from 1 species